AUACGGCCAUAUCAUGUUGAAACACCCGUUCCCAUACGAUUACUGAAAUUAAGCAACGUUGAGCCUGUUCAGUGUGUGAUCUCUUGGGAAUAUCAGUUACUGUAA